AGAGUUUGAUCAUGGCUCAGGACGAACGCUGGCGGCGUGCUUAACACAUGCAAGUCGAGCGGUAAGGCCCUUCGGGGUACACGAGCGGCGAACGGGUGAGUAACACGUGAGCAAUCUGCCCUUCACUCUGGGGUAGCCUCGGGAAACUGAGAUUAAUACCGGAUACGACCACUUCAGGCAUCUGAUGGUGGUGGAAAGUUCCGGCGGUGAAGGAUGAGCUCGCGGCCUAUCAGCUUGUUGGCGGGGUAAUGGCCCACCAAGGCUUCGACGGGUAGCCGGCCUGAGAGGGUGACCGGCCACACUGGGACUGAGACACGGCCCAGACUCCUACGGGAGGCAGCAGUGGGGAAUAUUGGACAAUGGGCGAAAGCCUGAUCCAGCAACGCCGCGUGAGGGAUGACGGCCUUCGGGUUGUAAACCUCUUUCAGCAGGGACGAAGCGCAAGUGACGGUACCUGCAGAAGAAGCACCGGCCAACUACGUGCCAGCAGCCGCGGUAAUAC
rnacentral:rRNA from 1 species